CGGAGUGUAGCUCAGCUUGGUAGAGCACUGCCUUCGGGAGGCAGGGGUCGGAGGUUCAAAUCCUCUCACUCCGACCA
rnacentral:tRNA from 1 species